GUAUUGGAGAAAAGUUGAGAAAAUUGACCCUCCGUUACAUCUUGACGUAACGUACAGCACGUAUAAAGCAACUAUUUCUGUUUUUACCAUCUCUUUCCACCAGGUGUAGCACUUCUAUCAUCCUUUAAAAAUAAGAAAUGGACAGUGAUGAGGAUGUGACCCUGUGCUAACAAGGCUCCUGAGCCAAUAUUCUCCAUUCCAGCUGGUCAGGACAGCCUUAAACAGCCCAUGGAGCAGCUCAGCCUGGACAGAGCUACAAACAGAUAAUAAAGACAAGUCCGUGAUUGGGCAUUCUCUCUUCAUCGUCCAAAAGCUGUUUAGUUUGGUCCGAAGAUUUUCUCAGUCUCUGUCUGGGGAACAGGAUCCAUUUCAUAAAGGGAUCAGAGGCACCAUCUUGGCCUGACUUCAUUGAGAUGUGCUUCUCUGUUUAAAUGGACUGUGUGGCCUGUUUUCUCUCCCACACAGAGAUGUCUUAAUCACGCUUGUUGUGCUGUGUGAGGGCCUUGUUGGAGAUGUUGGCCCUCAGGCACCCUGGUUAGGCUCUGUUGUACUGCUUGAUAAGGAUGGCGUUUUCCGGCCUCCUCAGGCCAGAGUUCAAACUAGCCCACAAACUAGCCCACCUCCUGCUGAACAACUCGGAGAUGUAGCAUCUCACGCUGAUCAAGCAAGUGCAACUCUGUAGGAAGCAAGCCAGACUUUUUGGACUCUUUCACAGUACAACAUCUGCAGAGGCUGACUGUGUCUUACCCCUUGUGUUGGUCUGGCCAGACACAUGACAUCAUACUGGGGAGGGAAAUGGGUGCACCUUACUAUGAAGAGACCAGGCUAGGAAUCAUCCACAGCUCAGUGCUGAUGGGAGAAUCCAAUGUUGAAGGCCUAUACAUUUCAAACCAAUAUAGACAGCAACGGAAUCCUCCCUUUUUCAUAUCUCCUGUCUGAAGUCAAGCUACCAGAGACUUCCUGUAUAUUUGUAAUUUUUUAUAUACUGUACUAAUGCAGAUUCUUUUUUUCUAUGCUAUCAUUGCCAAUGUACCACUACCUAUGUCUGUGACUACAAUCUUCAUAAUCACUGUUGACCAAACAGAAUGUUUAUCCUUGGGGUCAUUUCAAUAUAAUAAGGUCAGGAUUCAAUCAUUGCAGAUGGUAUAUUUUCGUACUUCACUUUUAGGGGUGGGUUAGAUUUACAUAAUAGCAUGUCUCAAAUUGUGCCAUUACUUUUUUAGAUAUAUGUUUUAGAUAUUUUCACUUCAUUUAGAAAGUAAGGAAAUCAGAGGGGGAGACCGGCAGGUGGGAGGAACAGUGGACACGGGGAUUGAACCCUGGUCCCCAGCGGGGAGUCUUACAUGCGACUUGUUCCGGGGUAUGUUUCCACCACAACACGGCUCUGCACAGAGAGUGCCAUUUCUUGAAAAGAAAGUACAUGUUAUGUCAUUCUUUCUCUAAACAACAACAGACUUUAAGGGUACAGAUGGGAGGACUGAGUUGUCCAACACUGGCUCACUGCAAUACAUGGCUCCUGCCUUCCACUGGUGCCAAAAGUCUUGUUCCCCUCAUGGGAGGGAGACAUGCAUGCAACCUGCUCCUGUCUCUUUCUGCAUGACACUUCAUAAUUAAAUGCUUUGCAAAAUGCCACCAUCUCUGUUCGGCAAGUUGUUUUGUACGCAGUCAAAAACAUGUGCCUGCUGGGUGCACAGUGCAAGCACAUAUGAAAGUAAUAUGAACAAUUCCCACACAUGGUUGAUGACAAUGUUUACCAAUUUUGACCCAACCCCUAAACUAAGAAAUAGAAAUCAGGGCCCAUUGAUAAACCAAAAAAAAAGAAUUAUCUUCAGUCAAUCGCCAUAGGAACUAUCUAUGUGAUUUGUGUAAACUACAUGCUUGUGUGUGUAUAAUGAUGAUGAAGCAGAACAUACUUUAGUUUUCUACACUGGAUGUUUUCUGCUUCCAUUAGCUUUUUUAUUUAACUAGGCAAGUCAGUUAAGACUCUUAUUUACAAUGACAGCCCACCUUAGCCCAACCUGGACAAUGCUGGACCAACUGUAAUCAGGCACUGGACCACUGCCUGAUCACAGAUGGUUGUGGUACAGCCUGUGAUUGAACCAGGAUCUGUAGUGACACCUUUAGCAGUGCAAUGCAGUGCUGCAGACCACUGCACCACCCAGGAGCCCUAGCUUUAGUGCUUUACAACAGGGAACACAACCUGAUUGUUUUGGAUGAAUAAUGGCACAUGCAAAGCUCCCUUGCAAAAGAGACCUUGGUCUCAAUCUGACUCUAUGCUUAAAUAACGGUCAAAUAAAAUAAAAAAGAUAAUCUUCCUCAACUUUCAAUGGGAUUGUGUUCCAUCAGUGUUUGAAAGACUGUAAGGGGUUGCAAAAAAAUAACCACUUGGUGGCAGUGUAGACUUAUCUGAACUACGAGGCCAGUGUGUUGGCACACACUUGUCCUAGUAAGUAGAUUCAGGAACAGAGGCAUUCUGUUCCACCAGGGAGAGCACACGUCCCAGUACUCCUGUGCAUACCCCUCUAGUCUCUUGCAUUUUGGUCGACUCAACUGGGUUUAUUGACCACUUGAUAUUUUUCCUUGUGGUCCUCUAUAAGUUAGGUUAUUUGCCUGGAGAGUUACCAUUCAAAUAGGGAAAGUUUUUUUUCCAAGUUUGAAUUUCAUGUCACACUUAAUAUUAGGGUUAGUUGCACAAACAACACUUGGUUGAAUUGGAUGAACAUUUUUGGGGUAGAAAAUAGUGUAUUAACUUUUACACCUGUAGCUAUAUAAAGUCUUCUCAGUAAUAUCUACAAUUAUUUAGGCUACCCUUCCCUUUCAUGCAGCAUAUUGAACCCAUCAAUGUCUCCAACAGUCCUUUGAUC
ensembl:lncRNA